AGGGUCCAAGUACAUAAAAUUCCAGCUCAUAGUUUUUAUCUUAGCCCAAGAAUAGAAUGAUUUAUUCUGAGCUUGAAAUUAAAUAAUAAUCAGCCCAACUGGCAUGAUACAACAGCCCAAAUAAAUGAAUAAUCAAAGGCCCAGAUAAAUAAAAUCAGAGGCCCAAACAGAAAUUAAAAUCAGCCCAAUCUGGAUUAAUAAUUAAAUUACAAACGAAGUGAAAAUAAAAGGAAGAGGCCCACUUAGAAUUUAAAUCAGGAAGGCCCAACUAAAGAAAGAAAAAAAAAAAGAAAGAAGCCCAAAGCUUCCCCUCUUCCCUCACAAUCGGUCUUCUCACUCUCUGCCUCUCUCAAUCUUACGCACGGCGCUCCUCUCUCUCUCGACCUGCUUCUGGCCGGCCUCGGCUGCCGCCGAGCCUAAAUCCGGCGAGGCCGUGCCUGCCUUUCUUCUCGUAUCUCCUCUCACUUGCUGAUGGUGCGUUCGAGGCGAAAAGGGCGAGCCCUAAUUCUCCCUGAAAUCAAAAUCGCCGCCGCCGCUGUAUCUCCCGGCGAAUGGCUGGCGGCCGUCGCUCCGUUUCGAGGCCGUCCCUCCUUCCUUAUUUCCCCUCUCAAUGGUCCACUGAAGAAGACGAAUUGAGGAGCCCUAGUUUCUUCCUCCGUGAAUGUCGCCGCUGCCUUCACCCCUAUCUGAAAUCCGAGUUCGUCCUCACCGAUUCCUAGGGCUCGACUGGACAGGGCAGUCGGCCCUUCUUCUAU